UGGUGGAGUGAUUUGUCUGGUUAAUUCCGAUAACGAACGAGACCCCGUCCUACUUACUAGACCGAGGAUCCUCUCGUUCUCGCUGUCUUCUUAGAGGGACAACUGCUUACACCUUGAACUACAUGAAAUGGGGCAAUAACA
rnacentral:rRNA from 1 species